AUUGGAGGGCAAGUCUGGUGCCAGCAGCCGCGGUAAUUCCAGCUCCAAUAGCGUAUAUUAAAGUUGUUGCGGUUAAAAAGCUCGUAGUUGGAGUUCAGUUGCGGACUGGGGUGGGAGGUCACCGCCCGGUGCUUCCCCUCUAGGCUCCGAACAGCUUCCGUGAGUGGAAGCCAAGCCGGCUUAGCCGGGGUGCUCUUUACCGAGUGUCCCGCGCAACCGGCCAGUUCACCUUGAAUAAAUGAGAGUGCUCAAAGCAGGCUACUCUGGAAUACAAUGCCCGAAUGUUACCUGCAUGGAAUGAUGGAAGAUGAUCUCGGUUGCAUUUUGUUGGUGGUGGCAGCCCGAGGUAAUGAUAAAGAGGGACUGUCGGGGGCAUCCGUACUACGACGCGAGAGGUGAAAUUCAGUGACCGUCGUAGGACGAACAACAGCGAAAGCAUUUGCCAAGAAUGUCUUCGUUGAUCAAGAACGAAAGUUAGAGGAUCGAAGGCGAUCAGAUACCGCCCUAGUUCUAACCCUAAACGAUGCUGACUAGCAAUUCGCCGUCGUUAUUCCCAUGACGUGGCGAGACGCCCCCGGGAAACCUCAAGUCUUUGAGUUCCGGGGGUAGUAUGGUUGCAAAAGUGAAACUUAAAGGAAUUGACGGAAGGGCACCACCAGGAGUGGAGCCUGCGGCUUAAUUUGACUCAACACGGGAAACCUGACCAGGCCCGGACACCAGAAGGAUUGAC
rnacentral:rRNA from 1 species